rnacentral:rRNA from 1 species
CCUACGGGUGACAGCAGUGAGGAAUAUUGGUCAAUGGGCUUACGCCUGAACCAGCCAAGUCGCGUGAGGGAAGACUGCCCUAUGGGUUGUAAACCUCUUUUGUCAGGGAGCAAGUGGCGCUACGUGUAGCGUUAUCGAGAGGACCUGAAGAAAAAGCAACGGCGACCUCCGUGCCAGCAGCCGCGGCAAUACGGAGGAUGCGAGCGUGAGCGGGAUGGAUUGGGUUGAAAGGGGGCGUAGGCGGAAUGCCAAGUCAGCGGUAACAUCGCGGGGCGCACCCUCGCUCCGCUGUGGAAACUGGCGUUCUUGAGUGGGCGAGAGGUAUGCGGAAUGCGUGGUGUAGCGGUGAAAUUCAUAGAUAUCACGCAGAACUCCGAUUGCGAAGGCAGCCUACCGGCGCCCACCUGACGCUGACGCACGAAAGCGUGGGUAUCGAACAGGAUUAGAUACCCUGGUAGUC